CAGAGAAUAUUUUAUUUAAAAUUUUAAUUUUGGAGAUUAAAGAUGGGUUGUUUUAUUCUUCUCUGA
rnacentral:tRNA from 2 species